rnacentral:misc_RNA from 1 species
AAGUCGUAACAAGGUUUCCGUAGGUGAACCUGCGGAAGGAUCAUUAACAAAUCAUCAAAAUAACCAUGUGUCAAUGUCUUCUUUCCCUUGGUGUGUGGUAGUUGUUGGAGAUGUCGAGACAGAGUGAUAUUAUAUAUAUUAUUCAUUCUUCAUCUCCACCUCUUCCUUCUCACUCUCAAGGGAAACGAUUGCUUAUUUAAUGACUAUCAAUAUAUAUGACAGAUCAUAAUUAUUAAAAAUUUAAACAACUUUUAACAAUGGAUCUCUUGGCUCUU